AUUGAACGCUGGCGGCAGGCCUAACACAUGCAAGUCGAACGAGUGGCGGACGGGUGAGUAAUGUCUGGGAAACUGCCUGAUGGAGGGGGAUAACUUCUGGAACCGGUAGCUAAUACCGCUAACCAUGGGAUCUGCCCAGAUGGGAUUAGCUAGUGGGUGGGGUAACGGUGCACCUAGGCGACGAUCCCUAGCCGGUCUGAGAGGCUGACCGGCCAAACUGGAACUGAGACACGGUCCAGACUCCUACGGGAGGCAGCAGUGGGGAAUAUUGCACAAUGGGCGCAAGCCUGAUGCAGCCAUGCCGCGUGUAUGAAGAAGGCCUUCGGGUUGUAAAGUACUUUCAGCGGGGAGGCGUUACCCGCAGAAGAAGCACCGGCUAACUCCGUGCCAGCCGCCGCGGUAAUUC
rnacentral:rRNA from 1 species